AUUGUCCCAGAGGCACUGCAGAUGUGGCUGCUAUGUCACAUGUGUAUCAGUUGGUGACAGAAAAGAGUCUUGUCUACUCUCAGUGUUCUGACUUAUGAACAUCUGGGUGAUUAAAAACUUAACGUC
ensembl:snoRNA Gm23607 predicted gene, 23607